UAGGGAAUCUUCGGCAAUGGACGGAAGUCUGACCGAGCAACGCCGCGUGAGUGAAGAGGGUUUUCGGAUCGUAAAGCUCUGUUGUUAGAGAAGAACGUUGGUAGGAGUGGAAAAUCUACCAAGUGACGGUAACUAACCAGAAAGGGACGGCUAACUACGUGCCAGCAGCCGCGGUAAUACGUAGGUCCCGAGCGUUGUCCGGAUUUAUUGGGCGUAAAGCGAGCGCAGGCGGUUCUUUAAGUCUGAAGUUAAAGGCAGUGGCUUAACCAUUGUACGCUUUGGAAACUGGAGGACUUGAGUGCAGAAGGGGAGAGUGGAAUUCCAUGUGUAGCGGUGAAAUGCGUAGAUAUAUGGAGGAACACCGGUGGCGAAAGCGGCUCUCUGGUCUGUAACUGACGCUGAGGCUCGAAAGCGUGGGGAGCGAACAGGAUUAGAUACCCUGGUAGUCCACGCCGUAAACGAUGAGUGCUAGGUGUUAGGCCCUUUCCGGGGCUUAGUGCCGCAGCUAACGCAUUAAGCACUCCGCCUGGGGAGUACGACCGCAAGGUUG
rnacentral:rRNA from 1 species